GUAAUUGUGAUCUUCUGACUCACCGAAUAUGUACGUGUAAGUAAGAGGUGGUUUUUGACCACAAUUACGCUCGUCACCUCGUAUGUACAUAUGUUCACAGACUGACAAUAAUCCCACUGAGGAACUCAAUCAUAUUUAUUUACAUACCUCUAUUUACGUAAAUCUGGUGACUCGGUUAAAAAUUAAUUGUUUAAUUAAAAUGGUUCAAUUCUUAUCGUCAUUUAAGUUGUUAUUUAAUUGUACAAGUUGUUUAUUUGUGCAUUAAACUAAAAUUAUUCACCUUCAGUCUUAGUAUUUAUUUUGAUUCAUGUGAUUUAAACAAAUCAUUCGAUAACUUGUGCUGGUCAGGGCACAACGUGUAAAUAAGUGUUUAAAGGAACAUUGUGAAAGAAGAAAUGCAUAUACUGUGACAAAUUGGUCUACUAACCAAUAAAGUGGAAGAAAUAUGAUGAUUAAAUUGGAAAAAGACUCUUCCCUGAUUUACACUGUGAAUCAUGACGAGUACGCGGAAUUUAUUACCGAUCUCGAAUCGUCGUCGCGACAUGAGAAUGAGAUUGCCGAAUUGACGCAAGAUUUUCUAAAUUUGCAAUUGCAUCCAACUACCAGAGAUCUUGCUGGAUUGGCCAGCAUGGUCAAUGGGGAGAAGGAAAAAAGAGGCGUUGACUCCCCGAAGGAAUCCUGGCUCCUGGAAUAUGUCCUCCUUUGCCGUGGAGUGUCUGAAAAAACGGGUUAUAGAGGUGCAAUAUUUUACAGAAAGGAAAAUCCAGAACGGCACCCUCAACUAAUUAUCGCUCAUGGAGGAACCAAAUCCUUCGACCCUGGCGACUGGCAAGCCGACUACGAUGGCGUGGUCAACAAUCGUCUCACCCCUCAAAUUAAUUCUGCCUGCACCUUCGGUCUCAAUUUCGUUCAAAAAUUCUCCACCGGAAGUGGCAUCCCUCCUCUCCAGCUAUCCAUCACUGGACAUUCUCUGGGCGGCUGGUUAGCACAAAUUUGCACCUUUGCCAUCAAAUAUUUACACCUGAACGAAACCAGUUUCAACCUAGUGGAUAAUAACUCGCCCACCCAUGCUUUCCACCCGCACUGCGAAGUAUUCGAUAGCCCGGGAGCAUUUGAAAUCAUUCAAGGUUUAUCCUCCCUAAAACAAUUUCGUGGGUUAAAACUCAAAAUCAAACCACACUUCGGGCUGGAUAUUACCAACUUCGUAUUCACCCCGAACGGCGUCAAUGUAGUUAACAACCAUAUCGGGGACAUGUUUCUACUUCCUUUGGACAUAACCGGAAAUGGUAACCGGAAACCCACAAGUUUUUUGACCAAGCAAAAUUUAACCUACACAGUAACCACGCAUGAAAUGGCUCGAUUUGUAGAGGAGCUUCAAUCCAACCUGAAUCCACGCUUGAUCCACGUGGACGAAUGGAUUUUAAUCCUGUUUCGAAACUGGGACACUAAAAAGCACAUCUAUCUCGAGAAGCAUGUCAACAUUUUGAGCCUGUUGGGUUCCUCAAUAAGGCAUUUAUUUACCACGAAAUGGUCACAAACUACGAAAGAAUAUGACGAUUUUAUGAAAUCUGGCCUCCCCGUGGGAACCACGAGGAUGGAGGGACGACUCAAAAUUCAUUUGGACACGCUCAGCGCAGGCGCACAGGAGGUGGUCGAGCUUCUUAAAACGAUCAAUAUUUGGAAGACUUACGUCGGAAAUGAGAGAAAUUCAGACCUAGAAAUUUUGCAACCUUUACUUGAAAUCGUGGCAAAUUCCCCGAAAAGAAAUCUGAUUUUGAUUCCAAGCCAGGAUUAUUACGUAAUGUUGCAAAAUGCGGGCUUGGCCGUGACCAGGAUUGUCGAGAUAUGCGGGAAGCUUGAAAAUUUUUCUGUAGCUCAGAUAAGGUCGUGUAGCGAAAGAUAUAGGGAUUCAAUUCGGGAUAAAUUUAUUACUUUGGAAUUUGACGGGGGGAAGCAGCCUGUCACGUGGAGGGAUGCAUGUAGACAUGGAAAUAGGAAAUUGUUAAAACUAUAUUGUCUUAAAAUAUGUGGAUUAAUGGAAUCCGAAAAAUGCGGACUUUCUCGUAAAAAUGCGCUCAUUUUAAAAUAUGGAGACUUUAACGGUACAAAAUUAGCGUCUCCACCGGAUGGGGUAAAAUUUAUAUUUGUUGACUGCAUUAAUUAUCCUGUCGAUAAAAUAGAGCAAAAACCAAAUAUUCCUGGUUGCCAAGUAAUAUUCAUAAUGCACGAUCCAACAAUUGUUAAUUGUAAUUAUAACUGGACAAAUUUAGGUAUUUCAACUUCCAGUUUUCCCCUGAUUUUAAGCCAAUCCAUAAAUUUGCAAGGUGUACUGGUCCAAUUGUCGGAGUUGCUAAAUUCUGCGUCAGGUUGCGAAGAAAUUUUGCAAUACCUUUUCAACAAUCCGGACAAGCUAUACGUAGUUUUGCGGAAAGGUGUCAAAUUGGAUAUUGGGACACUUCCCGCCACAAUUUAUGAAAAUAUUAACAUUUACGUUGAACCUGAGCGAACCUUUAGUUCGAUUGAGGAGGCCGUCCAUAUUUUUGAAGGGUUGGAAUUGCCCUGCAGGGUAAUACUAUUUUAUGAGGAAGACGGCUUCCCAGAUUUUGGGAAAUUUUGGCAAAAUUCUUUACAGAAUUUCGAUCUGAAAUAUGUUACCCUUACGAGCGAUCAAGAUCCGGUAGCUAGUUUUCAACAAUAUUGCAAAGAUCAUUCAGACCACGUGGUGGAAUUGGUGGCGUGUAGAAUCCAGGGUAAUUUUUUUAAGUGGAAAUUGCAUUAUAAUCCUGAUUUGUACAGGGCAAGGGAAAUCUUACCACCGGCAAUUGACACCAGGCGUCUGCACAAAACGGCAAGAAAUCCGGUACUCAAUUUCGAAAUAGUUGCCGGCCAAGGUGCGGAGGAAGUCUUGUCGUUGAACUGCUUGCUACUUCCGGACAAAAAUAGUUUUUUGGAAAAUUUGGGAUUAUCACAGUGUUGUUCCGCUGUGGACACGAUUAAAUCUGUCCAUUUAAAACCCGGAAUUGGCGGGAGUUGCGACUUAGUUUUGCAUUUCGUCGAUACCCAGCCAGCUCUGGAGGUCCAAAUUGAUGGGAAGCAACCCGUCCACGAAGACAAUAUUUUUUCUGAGGUUAGCGGUUCCGACAGAUUUUUAAUGUGCAUUUCUGAAAUUCCCGGAAUGGGUAAAACCUUCAGCAUGAUGACCAUGUGCAACAAGAUUUUGCAAAAUUCGCAAAAUAAUUCAUGGGCUUGGGUAUUUUUCCUUCAACUUCGAGAUCUCGUAGGUUUCGAUCGUCUCUCGAACGCCUCGCGAACCCGGCCCGAUGCGGGUAACGUGUCCCAAACACUAGAUAAUAUUGUGUCAUUUUUAGCGCAAAAUUUAAAACUGGAUGUCAUCUCGAGUAUCGCGUUCCGAGCGGUGAUGACGGGCAACAAUUCGUCCAAAAUAUUCCUAAUUUUGGAUGGUUUUGACGAACUCGCGGAUUCCAAUAAGCUCCUUGUAUCCCAAGUUUUGACUGGAUUGCGAGUAAAUUCGUCCGUUAAUAUGGCCGUAUCCACGCGGGCGGGAGACAGCCUUCUUGUCGAGUGCGCUCUUGGCAUUAUGUCGCAUCAUUUAGUCCCUCUGGGGCAAUAUGACCAAUUUUUGUACGAUAUUUGGAAGGGGGUAAUAAGCGGCGGGAAAGACCGCCUCGUCACAUUUACAUCCACGUUGAUGCGGAAGGCUCAAGAUUCCUUUCUUUCAGAUAAUAGUAAUUCCUUUUUAGGGAUCCCGCUCCACAUGAAAAUGCUCAGCGUCGCUUUUGCCGCUCCGGCCCGCGAUUUCUGCGGUGGUCUGAUCAAUCUCGAGGAAGCGGUGCCAUCCUUCUACAGCCUGCGAAUACUUAUUGAUCAAUUUAUCGAUGCGAAAUACAAGAUUUGCUUCUUGAACAAAUUAGGCAUGAAAGACGACGGAAUUUGGGAAGGUUUAAGGCCAAGUUUUAUCUCGAAGUUUGAACGAGAAUUGGAAUUCUUGGGGGGCGACGUGCUAAAAAUUGACGGCUGGGACGCCUUGAUCUGGGAAAUUUACAGAGUGGAGAGAAAAAGCAUGGAAAUUUCUCCUGAAUCGUCCCGAGAAUUAAGUAGAAUUGGUCUUGUCCAUGGAUCCGUGCAAAAACCAGAAUUUCUGCACAGAUCCAUUGCAGAAUUUUAUGUAGCAAAUUUUAUUUUCGGAGCAUUCAGACAAUUUUGGUAUAAUAAGAGGCAUCCUGAAGAAAAUGGCAAUUUCGCCCAAAAAUUGUUUGUCGUCGGCAAAUCCGCCGUGCUCGAGAGAGGGCGUUCAUUAAUUCGAUCAUUUCUGAACGAACUGGUCAGAAAUGAGGCCCAGUUUUUGUCCCAACUGAGAGACGGGACACUCCCACGAAUCGCCACGAGAGGCGUGGAUGAUGAAAUUUUGUCAUAUUUUUACGACCUCGUCCGCUUUGAGCAUACUUCCACAGAUUUGUUUGGAUUUCUCGCCAACACAUUUUUCAAUUGGGGCGAAAUAUCGCGACAUAUUCUCGUUUUGUACGGUGUCAGUGCACUCUCAGUAAUUCCGAUGACGCAAACCACUCUUGAAAUCUUGUUUAUACUCGUUCGCAGUUUCAGGUUGCAGAUUGGGGAAAAUUCCAUUGCUGAAAUGAUGGAAAGUUGUCCCAGUUCAAGUGAUGAGUUUGCAAAUAUGAAAUGUAUUUUACAAUAUCCGCCACCGCCGGUCAACUGGGAUUGGCAUCGGUUCCGAGGGGAUUUUCUGCCAUUUUUGCUAAACAAGAAAUUCGCAAUGAGCCAAUUUAGUGCCAUUAGUCAGGAAUUGUUGGGUAGGGAGGAGGUGAAAGGUAGGCUGAAAGAGCGCUACGGAAUUUGUGGGGAUGAGUUUGAAACCAGUGUUAAAUUUGUGGACUGGCUGCUGGAAUUUACCGAGAUUUUGGGGAAAGAGUUGAGAUCUGAAUUAACAAAGGCCGUAUUUUUUGCAGGUAAUGAUUAAAGAGACGUUUUUGCCACAAAUGGAGAACAGUCAAAAACUGAUGUCAUUUAUUUACUGUAAACUUCGAAAAAAUUUAUUUUAUAUUUUCACUCAAAACCCGAAAAUAUUUUCUUGAAUAGUUUUUUUAAUUCAUAUUUUGGGCUCAAGAUCCGACUGGUUAUAGCUCAAAUUGCAUUUCCAACAUUUUGGCAUUUAUAAAUGGGUGAUAUUAAAACUUUGACACGCUAAAUCUGUGAAAUAGUCAAUGGAAUGGUAUACUCAUACUCAUUCAUAUGUAGAUACAUAAGUAUUUGGUUAAAUACUUACAUGUCUUAAAUGCGGGGUCAAUUUAAAGGAAAAUGUUGAAGUUUUAAAUUUUGAAAAUAUAUACAUACUUGUGUACUCUUUUGAAUUUUGAAAGUUACUGUGGGGAAUAACAAGAGAAUACAUGGGUUCCACAUGUGGACGUGCGAUGCGAUGUUGGGGGGAAUUUAAGCCAGGAAGUUACACUUGACGUUGCAUCUAUCACUCUCUGUAUUUUUAAUGUGACUAGACUAUCUCUUGUCAUUUUGAAGAAUUUCUCUUACGUUAAAUGUUAAUGUUAAUGUUGAAAAUGUUCAUAUUUGCCGAGAACUUUAUCAUUCCUAAAUAUAAUGCAGUCCUAAAUUCUGGA